rnacentral:rRNA from 1 species
UAGGGAAUUUUCGUCAAUGGGGGGAACCCUGAACGAGCAAUGCUGCGUGAGCGAAGAAGGUCUUCGGAUCGUAAAGCUCUGUUGUAAGAGAAAAACGAGCGCCAUAGGGAAUGAUGGCGGAGUGAUGGUAUCUUACCAGAAAGCCACGGCUAACUACGUGCCAGCAGCCGCGGUAAUACGUAGGUGGCGAGCGUUAUCCGGAAUCAUUGGGCGUAAAGGGUGCGUAGGUGGCACGAUAAGUCUGUAGUAAAAGGCAGCGGCUCAACCGCUGUUGGCUAUGGAAACUGUCGAGCUGGAGUGCAGAAGAGGGCGAUGGAAUUCCAUGUGUAGCGGUAAAAUGCGUAGAUAUAUGGAGGAACACCAGUGGCGAAGGCGGCCGCCUGGUCUGCAACUGACACUGAAGCACGAAAGCGUGGGGAGCAAAUA